CAAAAGCAAAAAACACCCCCAAAUAACCUAUUAACAAAGUCGCCUAUAUUCAAGGCAAAUGGAAAAACAGAGAAGCGGAAAACACGUUAACUUUACAGAAGGCUAUUUCGAUGAUAACCUACUUUAUACUAAGUGGGUUUGUUCUAGGUUUUUAGUAAACCAAAGAAAUAAUUUAUUCCCCAAAAUAACUUUGAAGUUAUCAAAACCACCAUCAAUGGCGAAUCAGGCGGUGGGCAGCCAUAACUGUUACCUCUGUCAACAACUAUGACAAAAUUAGAGGAAGAAAUACGAAAUAAUACAGCAUGAACUAAAUUCACCAAGAUAAAACGCAAAUCAGCAAUAAUGAUAAAGUCGAAGAACCGCAUCAAAAAUAAAGUGAGAUGAAAGUGUGUGUGAGUUGAAUCAAAGCUUUCAGUAAAGAAAUCCUAAAACUUUCGAUCGUCCACUGUUUACCCAAAAUCCAAAGUAGCAUGUGAUCGUCUCUCAGCCAUCUGACCCAACAGACGUAGGGAAAGAAUUUGAUGUUAAUCUAUUUCUCAGAUACAAUUAUACGUAGGUAAGUCUAAGUG
rnacentral:lncRNA from 1 species